rnacentral:rRNA from 1 species
CCCUUAGAUGUCCUGGGCUGCACGCGCGCUACACUGAUGUGUCCAGUAAGCACCUAACCUCUUCCGAAAGGAACGGGUAACCUUUGCAAAGCACAUCGUGAUGGGGAUAGAUUAUUGCAAUUAUUAGUCUUGAACGAGGAAUUCCUAGUAAGCACAAGUCAUCAGCUUGUGUUGAUUACGUCCCUGCCCUUUGUACACACCGCCCGUCGCUCCUACCGAUUGAAUGUUCCGGUGAGCUCUUCGGACUGCGCGGUCUGCAGUUUCUGCGUUCCGUGCGGAAAGUUGCGCAAACCUUAACAUUUAGAGGAAAGAGAAGUCGUAACA